rnacentral:rRNA from 1 species
CACUCCUGCGGGAGGCAGCAGUGGGGAAUUUUGGACAAUGGGGGCAACCCUGAUCCAGCAAUGCCGCGUGAGUGAAGAAGGCCUUCGGGUUGUAAAGCUCUUUUGUCAGGGAAGAAACGGUAGUAGCGAAUAACUAUUACUAAUGACGGUACCUGAAGAAUAAGCACCGGCUAACUACGUGCCAGCAGCCGCGGUAAUACGUAGGGUGCAAGCGUUAAUCGGAAUUACUGGGCGUAAAGCGUGCGCAGGCGGUUGUGUAAGUCAGAUGUGAAAUCCCCGGGCUCAACCUGGGAAUUGCAUUUGAGACUGCACGGCUAGAGUGUGUCAGAGGGGGGUAGAAUUCCACGUGUAGCAGUGAAAUGCGUAGAUAUGUGGAGGAAUACCGAUGGCGAAGGCAGCCCCCUGGGAUAACACUGACGCUCAUGCACGAAAGCGUGGGGAGCAAACAGGAUUAGAUACCCUUGUAGUCCCAUGAU